rnacentral:snoRNA from 1 species
AGUUGCCGGAGCCCUUACCCAUCAGAUUUAAACGUUGGUCUGGGUGGCUAUAAAAGGAGGAAAAGUAAAGCCAAAAUGGAAUCUUUAGUGACAGUCAAGUUCAUUUCAAACAAAC